rnacentral:lncRNA from 1 species
CAAAAUUAAUUUAAAUUUCAGAUAAAAAAAUAAGUAUCAAGAAAGUAAAUAAGUUGUCUUUUAUUGAAAUAAAAUUCCAUUUUAGAUAUGCCUGGCGAUUGACAAAAGUCCACAUAACAAAACGUUAAAAUCAAGCAACUUAGUCAAAAGUGUGGAAAAAUCUUUAGUUAUCAUAACUUAGGGUGUAAAAGUCUUGACAAGUGAUUAAUAUAUACGCGUAAACAGAAAUCAAUCCAUUAUUAAAUAGAAAGUUUACAAAAUGAUUUAAAUCACUUAUUAAGAUUCAUAUUUUUAAGUGUUUUUCAUCUAAAUUCUAAAUUCUAAUGCAUCAAUGCUUUCGAUCUUAUGUUGCAUAAAUCAAGCAAAUCUCCUCUUUAGAUGUGUGUGUGUAUAUUUUCCAGUUUAACAUCUCCCAUCACAAAGACAUCCAUGUUCUUGAAGACGCAAAAGAUGAAAUCAGGGUUUUUUUAUCUCUCGAAUAUUCUUUGUAAUCUCAACUACUAAAAUCCUAAAUAAAAUCAAUAUAUUCUUGGAAAAUCCCCCCCCCCCCAAAAAUGUUUAAAAUUCUCUCUCUCUUUUUUGGUUGCUAAUAUGAUAUAAAAACCAUAUGAUAAAAAAUGAUUUUCAAGUUGAUCUUUAUCGAGUUAGGUCGUUAAUAGGUUAAUUCAUUAAAACCCUAUUCUAUAAAAGGUUAAAUUUUAGUUUAAGCAUCAAAACACAUUUCGCCCAACCCAUUAAUAGUAAAUAAUUGUUUAAUUAGUUUAAUAAUUUA